ensembl:lncRNA
CCAAAGCAUCUCUCUUCUCCCUGUACACAGGACCAAAAGUGCAGGCACAUCAUUUAUUGAUAAGACAAAAAGAAUGUAAUGAAAUUAUCAAUGUUCUUGAAUUAAUUAUGAACAUGAUUAAGAAAGCUAAAAUCUCAGGAGCCAGGAUCUCAUUACCCAUUCAGUCUUAGGGAUUGCUUUCAUUCAGCUAGGCAAAAAGGCUUCAAGCAGCCCCACAAUUGCCUUUCUCUCAUUUAUUUGUGCUAGAAUUAAGCUUUAUUUGUUUUCUGUUUUCUUCUCCUUCAGACCGUUUCCUCUGUCUUUAUCCAUUUAACAAACUGUUUCCUCCUGUAUCUCAGAAGGCUACAGCGACAGGGCCUACAUCUGUCUGCAGCUGCUCACCUUCUUUUGAGUGCAUUUCUCUCACCUCAUUUUGUUGGAGCUCCUAAAUAUCUCUCAAGGUGGUCGUCUGCACUUCAGCAAUUGGACACCAUCAGGUGAAGGAGUCUGGGAGCUGAAAGAGACACAAAUAGCAGAAGCUGAGAUGGAAGAGAAGGUGGAGAAGAAGGAACUAGCAAAAAAGUGGAGGAAGGAUCUUUGGCUGGCUUACCUUGCAGAUUACUGACUGGAUGAAAUGAGAAGAAAGUACCAGUGUGUUCUGGGCAGUGUAAAGACUACCACUGGUGUUUGUUGAGCUGUUUUGCUUAAGGAGUGAUUUUGAUGCCAACACAUUUCUUAUUAUUCUGGUAUGUAAGCAUUAUGAAAACCAAAUUUCAUAAUCUCCCCAACGUCGUUUGUUCAUUGGCC